rnacentral:rRNA from 1 species
UACGAAGGGGGCUAGCGUUGCUCGGAAUCACUGGGCGUAAAGCGCACGUAGGCGGACUUUUAAGUCAGGGGUGAAAUCCUGGAGCUCAACUCCAGGACUGCCUUUGAUACUGGAAGUCUUGAGUUCGAGAGAGGUGAGUGGAACUGCGAGUGUAGAGGUGAAAUUCGUAGAUAUUCGCAAGAACACCAGUGGCGAAGGCGGCUCACUGGCUCGAUACUGACGCUGAGGUGCGAAAGCGUGGGGAGCAAACAGG